rnacentral:pre_miRNA from 1 species
GAGCUGUUGGAUUCGGGGCCGUAACACUGUCUGAGAGGUUUACAUUUCUCACAGUGAACCGGUCUCUUUUUCAGCUGCUCC